rnacentral:antisense_RNA from 1 species
AGAAGGGCUUCCACGACGGUUUCGUUGCGGGGGCCUUUUUCUUUUGC